CGGGACACGUGGUAUCCUGUCUGAAUAUGGGGGGACCAUCCUCCAAGGCUAAAUACUCCUGACUGACCGAUAGUGAACCAGUACCGUGAGGGAAAGGCGAAAAGAACCCCGGCGAGGGGAGUGAAAAAGAACCUGAAACCGUGUACGUACAAGCAGUGGGAGCACGCUUAGGCGUGUGACUGCGUACCUUUUGUAUAAUGGGUCAGCGACUUAUAUUCUGUAGCAAGGUUAACCGAAUAGGGGAGCCGAAGGGAAACCGAGUCUUAACUGGGCGUUAAGUUGCAGGGUAUAGACCCGAAACCCGGUGAUCUAGCCAUGGGCAGGUUGAAGGUUGGGUAACACUAACUGGAGGACCGAACCGACUAAUGUUGAAAAAUUAGCGGAUGACUUGUGGCUGGGGGUGAAAGGCCAAUCAAACCGGGAGAUAGCUGGUUCUCCCCGAAAGCUAUUUAGGUAGCGCCUCGUGAAUUCAUCUCCGGGGGUAGAGCACUGUUUCGGCAAGGGGGUCAUCCCGACUUACCAACCCGAUGCAAACUGCGAAUACCGGAGAAUGUUAUCACGGGAGACACACGGCGGGUGCUAACGUCCGUCGUGAAGAGGGAAACAACCCAGACCGCCAGCUAAGGUCCCAAAGUCAUGGUUAAGUGGGAAACGAUGUGGGAAGGCCCAGACAGCCAGGAUGUUGGCUUAGAAGCAGCCAUCAUUUAAAGAAAGCGUAAUAGCUCACUGGUCGAGUCGGCCUGCGCGGAAGAUGUAACGGGGCUAAACCAUGCACCGAAGCUGCGGCAGCGACGCUGAUGCGUUGUUGGGUAGGGGAGCGUUCUGUAAGCCUGCGAAGGUGUGCUGUGAGGCAUGCUGGAGGUAUCAGAAGUGCGAAUGCUGACAUAAGUAACGAUAAAGCGGGUGAAAAGCCCGCUCGCCGGAAGACCAAGGGUUCCUGUCCAACGUUAAUCGGGGCAGGGUGAGUCGACCCCUAAGGCGAGGCCGAAAGGCGUAGUCGAUGGGAAACAGGUUAAUAUUCCUGUACUUGGUGUUACUGCGAAGGGGGGACGGAGAAGGCUAUGUUGGCCGGGCGACGGUUGUCCCGGUUUAAGCGUGUAGGCUGGUUUUCCAGGCAAAUCCGGAAAAUCAAGGCUGAGGCGUGAUGACGAGGCACUACGGUGCUGAAGCAACAAAUGCCCUGCUUCCAGGAAAAGCCUCUAAGCAUCAGGUAACAUCAAAUCGUACCCCAAACCGACACAGGUGGUCAGGUAGAGAAUACCAAGGCGCUUGAGAGAACUCGGGUGAAGGAACUAGGCAAAAUGGUGCCGUAACUUCGGGAGAAGGCACGCUGAUAUGUAGGUGAAGUCCCUCGCGGAUGGAGCUGAAAUCAGUCGAAGAUACCAGCUGGCUGCAACUGUUUAUUAAAAACACAGCACUGUGCAAACACGAAAGUGGACGUAUACGGUGUGACGCCUGCCCGGUGCCGGAAGGUUAAUUGAUGGGGUUAGCGCAAGCGAAGCUCUUGAUCGAAGCCCCGGUAAACGGCGGCCGUAACUAUAACGGUCCUAAGGUAGCGAAAUUCCUUGUCGGGUAAGUUCCGACCUGCACGAAUGGCGUAAUGAUGGCCAGGCUGUCUCCACCCGAGACUCAGUGAAAUUGAACUCGCUGUGAAGAUGCAGUGUACCCGCGGCAAGACGGAAAGACCCCGUGAACCUUUACUAUAGCUUGACACUGAACAUUGAGCCUUGAUGUGUAGGAUAGGUGGGAGGCUUUGAAGUGUGGACGCCAGUCUGCAUGGAGCCGACCUUGAAAUACCACCCUUUAAUGUUUGAUGUUCUAACGUGGACCCGU
rnacentral:rRNA from 1 species